AGUGGGGAAUAUUGGACAAUGGGCGAAAGCCUGAUCCAGCCAUGCCGCGUGUGUGAAGAAGGUCUUCGGAUUGUAAAGCACUUUAAGUUGGGAGGAAGGGCAGUAAGUUAAUACCUUGGUGUUUUGACGUUACCGACAGAAUAAGCACCGGCUAACUUCGUGCCAGCAG
rnacentral:rRNA from 1 species